rnacentral:lncRNA from 1 species
GCCAUGCCUUGUUUUAGGUAUUUCUAUUGUUUUUCUACUGCAGACAUAUGUUAACAAGUACAGUAUAUACGUAAGUAAUUUUACAUACCUCAUAGCCAUAAAUGCAAUACGAACUGUAUUUGUCACAAUCCAGAAUAAAAAUAUACUUAUUUCCUAAAGAUGAGUAGAAGUCUUUCGAUCUAUUAACGCAGUUAUGCUCUACAUACAAUGUAUCUAUCAUUUUUUGAAGAAAUUAAUAAAGUGAGGGUUUGCGUGUAGCUACUUCUAUCCCUGCCCAUGACAGAGGGGUUGGAACCGGAUGGUCUUUAAGGUCCCUCCCAACCCAAACCAUGGUGUGAUACUUCAGAUAUUUCCCAGGAGCUCCAAGGACACCACCAGCAUCCUAUGGGGCUGACUGUGGAUACCUGCAAACAAGGUAAACAAGGUUAAACAAGGCUAAACAAGGUUAGAGAAUAAUUCGGAUAACAAGAUACUAAUACAGGUUGUUGUUCUGUUGUUCUUGGCCUGGAUUAGUUCCUUGACGCUCUUCUCAGCACAGACAUGCACAAGGUUUUGCCACCAGAGUUAAAAGGAGGUAAUGGAGCCACAGGAGUCAGCAUGGAGAGCAGCAACAAAGUAUCAGCCAGGAAUGCAGAAUUAGGGAAAAUCAGGGCUAUCACGGAAAUUCAUGGUGUAGCUGCAUCUUGAAUAUCAAAUAUUAUUUUUGUUUCCACCUUAGAGAAACAGAACCUGGUACAGGAGAUGAUGCCUCUAUUAUAACAACAUCUGCCCAUGGCCAUGAUGAUGUCACAGAAAACCAGAAUGGAAGGCAAAUCAUGAGAAAACACCAUGGCUUUUAUUUAUAGCACAGACGCAAGAGUUAGGGAUCAUCCAAUGAAAUAAUCUGGCAAAGUUUGGAAAAUAAAAAACAAAAAAAAAAGAAGAAAACAUUUUUUCAUGCACUGGAAAAGCAAAAUGUUAGCAUGCAUUGCUACUGGAUGUGAAAGUCAGAGCAUUACGCCUCGAAAGGAAGGGCUGAAUCCCAGACAUUCGCGUGAGGCAGAAGGGUAUUUCUACGUGUCGGCGUGUAAAUCUUUGCGAACCUGCACAGGUUUCAGAGAGCAUCUUCCAAACUGAAUGUCUGAGGUUACUCGAAUGCAUAGUUAAAUAUCAGGCUGGUGCUCUGCGGUGCUGAGGGGGCUGCAGCAUUCCCAGCAUCCUUUGAAGACGGGGACAUCUGGAAUUGUUCAGCAGCUUUAAAUUCCAUCUUUAGGUGUCUGAACAUAGAUUCUAAAUAAAUAUUUAAGUAUCUAGAUCUUAAG